ACCUUACCUAUUAAAUAGUUCGAAGUGCAUAUGUAAUGUAGAAUACUGUGUCGUAGCGCGAGUAGUCUAAAAUAUACACAUAUACUCCGAACUACCUUAACGAACUUCAAUACUAAUAAAGCGACAUUUCGAAACUACAUUAUAUAACGACGAGUCGUUAUAGCGACUACAAAUAUAUACAAAACUUGCUUUAAAUUGUUUUAAUUGCCUCUUAAAACUAUUUAGAAGCGCUGUAAUAGCGCGUUGUCGAAACAAUUGAUAGUUACUAAGAGAUGGUCGUCCCUUCUAAAAAUGUCUAUACACUUCAGAAUUUAUAUAGAGAAUCUCGACAAGACACUGUCUUGUCGUCUUAAAUAGUAGGUAGGAUACUAGCGUAAUAGUCGUAUACAGCCCGUCUUAAAACACGGACUAAGGAGUCUACUAUCUAUACGAGUGUUCGGGUGUUAAACCCCUACGCGUAAUAAAAGUGAACAGAGGUAGGAACGUAAGUGCACUAUCGACCGAUCCUAAUGUCUUCGGAUAGAUUUAAGUAAGAGUAUAGCUAGUAGGACCUAAAAGAUAGUGAUCUUUACUUAAAUAGAGUAAAGCUAGAGGAAACUCUAGUAGAGGCUCGUAGCGGUUCUAACGUGUAAAUCGAUCGUUAAAUUUAGGUAAAGAGGCGAAAGACUAAUCGAACUAUCUAGUAGCUAGUUCCUACCGAAGUUUCCCUUAGGAUAGUAGUAACGUUUUUAGUUUUAUAAGGUAAAGCGAAUAAUUAGAGGCCUUAGAGUUGAAACAACCAUAACCUAUUCUUAAACUUUAAAUAUGUAAGAAGUCCUUGUUGCUUAGUUAAACGUAGACAUUUAAAUACACCGUUACUAGUAGGCUAUUUUUAGUAAGUAGAACUAGCGAUGUAGGAUAAACUGAACGCGAGGUUAAGGUGCCAGAAUACACGCUUAUUAGACACUAUAAAAGGUGUUAGUUUAUCUAGACAGCAGGACGGUAGCUAUAGAAGUCGGAAUCCGCUAAGGAGUGUAUAACAACUUACCUACUAAAUAAACUAGCCCUAAAAAUAGAUAGCGCUUAAGCGUGCUACCUAUACCUUGCCGCCUAGGUAGAAACGAUGCCCGGGCGAGUAGGCAGGCGUAGAGGCCCGUGACGAAGCCUUAGGAGCGAUCCUAGGUCGAACAGCCUCUAGUACAGAUCUUAGUAGUAGUAGCAAAUACUUAAAUAAGAACUUUAAGAACUAAAGUAGGGAAAGGUUCUGUAUAAACAGUAGUUAGACACAGGUUAGUCGAUCCUAAGCUACAGGGAAACUCCGUUUUAAAGUGUACGCUCCGUGCUGCCUAGCGAAAGGGAAGCUAACCCUAACAUUCCGGCACCUAGAUGUGGAUUAUCCGCGGUAACGCAACUAAAGGCGUAGACGUCGGCGAGAGCUCUAGAAAGAGUUCUCUUUUCUUCUUAACAGCCCGUUACCCUAAAAUCGGUUUGUCCGGAGCUAGGGUUUAACGGCCGGUAGAGCCGUACACCUUUAUACGGUCCGGUGCGCUCUCGACGGCCCUUAAAAAUGCGCUAGAAGGAAUGAUUUUCACGCUAGGUCGUACUUAUAACCGUAGCAGGUCUCUAAGGUAAACAGCCUCUAAUUAAUAGAACAAUAUAGAUAAGGGAAGUCGGCAAAAUAGAUCCGUAACUUUGGGAAAAGGAUUAGCUCUAAGGGUUAGGUGCGUUAGGCCUUAGGUAGAUUCCCUAGGAGCAGGAUGGCACUAGCCUUACGGCCGGCGCCGCCUAGUACCUAGUAGCGGACGCCCUUAGCAGGCUUCGGCCGUCCGGCGCACGCUUAACAACCAACUUAGAACUAGUACGAACAAGGGGAAUCUAACUGUCUAAUUAAAACAUAGCAUUGCGAUAGCUAGAAAGUGGUGUUAACGUAAUAUGAUUUCUGCCUAGUGCUCUAAAUAUUAAAGUAAAGAAAUUUAACUAAGCGCGGGUAAACGGCAGGAGUAACUAUAACUCUCUUAAGGUAGCUAAAUGCCUCGUUAUCUAAUUAGUAACGCGUAUAAAUAGAUUAACGAGAUUCCUACUGUCCCUAUCUACUAUCUAGCGAAACUAUAGCUAAGGGAACGGGCUUAGCAGAAUCAGCAGGGAAAGAAGACCCUGUUAAGCUUAACUCUAGUUUGACAUUGUGAAAAGACAUAGAGGGUAUAGAAUAGGUAGGAGCUUCGGCGCUAGUGAAAUACUACUACCCUUAUCGUUUUUUUACUUAAUUAAUAAAGCGGAACUAGUCUUCACCGACUAUCUUCUAGCGUUAAGGUCCUUCGCGGGCCGAUCUAGGUUAAUAACAUUAUUAGAUAGGGAGUUUGGCUAGGGCGGCAUAUCUGUUAAACUAUAACGCAGGUGUCCUAAGAGGGACUUAUAGAGAACAGAAAUCUCUAGUAGAGUAAAAGGGCAAAAGUCCCCUUGAUUUUGAUUUUCAGUGUAAAUACAAACUAUAAAAGUGUGGCCUAUCGAUCCUUUAGUCCCUCAAAAUUUGAGGCUAGAGGUGCUAGAAAAGUUGCUAUAGGGAUAACUAGCUUGUAGUAGCUAAGCGUUUAUAGCGACGUUGCUUUUUAAUCCUUCGAUGUCGGCUCUUCCUAUCAUACCGAAGCAGAAUUCGGUAAGCGUUAGAUUGUUCACCUACUAAUAGGGAACGUGAGCUAGGUUUAGACCGUCGUAAGAUAGGUUAGUUUUACCCUACUAAUAACCGUCGUCCUAAUAGUAAUACCGCUUAGUACGAGAGGAACCGCGGUUUCAGAUAAUUGGUUUUUGCGGCUGUCCGACCGGGUAGUGCCGCGAAGCUACUAUCUGCUAGAUUAUAGCUGAACGCCUCUAAGUCAGAAUCUAUGCUAGAACGGGACGAUCUUCUCCGGCACGCCGGACGCGGAUAAGAAUAGGCACCGCUAGUACCUAAGACGGGUACGCCGCUAAAGAGGCAGCCCGACGUUGUAAUUUCACUACGCGCUAGGAUGAAUCCCUUACAGACGACUAGGACGUGCGAACGGGUCGUGUAAGCAGUCGAGUAGCCUUGUUGUUAUAAGCUGCUAAGCGUAAGCCUGCUUCGCCCGCAUUUGUUAGAAACACCUCCC
rnacentral:rRNA from 1 species